rnacentral:rRNA from 1 species
UACGGAGGGGGCAAGCGUUGUUCGGAAUUAUUGGGCGUAAAGGGCGCGUAGGCGGCCGGCCAAGUCGGGUGUGAAAUCCCUCGGCUCAACCGAGGAAUUGCAUCCGAUACUGGCUGGCUGGAGUCCGGGAGGGGAUGGUGGAAUUCCCAGUGUAGCGGUGAAAUGCGUAGAGAUGGGGGAGAACACUCGUGGCGAAGGCGGCCAGCUAGACCAGUUCUGACACUGAGGCGCGACAGCGUGGGGAGCAAACAGG